GGGGCGGUGGCGAAACGGCAGCCGCGGGGGACUUAAAAUCCUCUGUCCGUUGAGGACGUGUGGGUUCAAAUCCCACCCGCCCUA
rnacentral:tRNA from 2 species